rnacentral:rRNA from 1 species
UACGAAGGGGGGCUAGCGUUGCUCGGAAUCACUGGGCGUAAAGGGUGCGUAGGCGGGUCUUUAAGUCAGGGGUGAAAUCCUGGAGCUCAACUCCAGAACUGCCUUUGAUACUGAGGAUCUUGAGUACGGGAGAGGUGAGUGGAACUGCGAGUGUAGAGGUGAAAUUCGUAGAUAUUCGCAAGAACACCAGUGGCGAAGGCGGCUCACUGGCCCGUUACUGACGCUGAGGCACGAAAGCUAGGGGAGCGAACGGG